UACGUAGGGGGCGAGCGUUGUCCGGAUUCAUUGGGCGUAAAGCGCGCGUAGGCGGCUCCGCAAGUCGGCCGUGAAAUCUCCAGGCUCAACUUGGAGGAGUCGGGCGAGACUGCGGAGCUCGAGGUGGGCAGAGGGCAGUGGAAUUCCGGGUGUAGUGGUGGAAUGCGUAGAGAUCCGGAGGAACACCAGUGGCGAAGGCGGCUGCCUGGGCCUGGCCUGACGCUGAGGCGCGAAAGCGUGGGGAGCGAUCCGG
rnacentral:rRNA from 1 species